CACAGGGAGGAGGAACACAAGGAGCAGGGAGGCAGAAAGGCAGGGGGAAGCCAUGAUGGAUCUGAGAGCCACAAACAAGGGGGCCGAGCCCGCCGCCGGGACGCCGGCUAAACAUGGAAUCAGCUGAGGUAGUCAGCUCUUAUACCCAGUUUUGAGAUCCAGCUGAUUUACAACGGGCCAAAUUCUGCAUGGAGUUCAUAGUCCUGAAAACCAGUGAGAUUUGUAAUUCCUUGAGGCUGCUUGGUGCAGCAGGUCAGUAGUCCAGGCAAGAACCUGGCCGUGACCACUAGAGAGCAACAGUCCCUUCACUUCUGAGAGCCCACGAGUGUGAGCACACAGCUGAGUGCCUUGCUGUUCCAGUCUGUGGUUCACUUCUCCAGAAGAAAAUGUACUGGAUAAGGUUAAACAACUUUCUCGUGUUCAAAAUACAAAUUUGUGCAAAGCUUCAGAGUAACCAUCUAUUCCUCACUGGAACCCAUGACAAGGCAGCUAGUCAUUAAGGAUGGCAAGGAGAGGAGGUAAUGUUUAGCUCUGUCAUAUGUAAAUAAUCUUUAUUGUUCUUUCUUCUCUGUUUUCCUGGACAGCAGUGAUGUUUAAAAAUUAAAGCAGGGACUUCUGGUCAAACUAAGUUGGCUUUUUCUCUGACUGCUGCCAACUCCUUAAGCUCCUGAGCAAGUAAUUUAAUGUCUCUGCCUCAGUUUCUCUAUUUGCAAAAUGAGGAUGAAAGCCUUCACAGCCACACAGGGCUUUCUGAUUGAAAGGAUCCUAUUAUCUACAUAUGUGUAAAUGAAUGUGUAAGUAAAUGAAUGGAAUCUUUGCCUGCCUUUAUUAUAGGCUGUAGAUUCCUGAACACUUGUUCACUAAGAAAGUUCUUCUCCAUGCAGGUCAGCAAGGUGUACAGGACAGAGACAAGGAAGGAGGAAGGCAGACAAAGUAAAGCGAACUGCGUGGGGAAAGCCCAGAAGCUCCCACUGGAAAAAGCUGGACUACACCUGCUUAGCCCAAAGUCAGCCUUGUUAAACUGAAGCCUGAAAAGCAAGAUGUAGGAUUUUGAAGUAUGACUUGUCUCUACAGGAUGAAAUUAGGCAGUCUUUAGAGGGCUUAGGCAUUGCAACAUUCCACUUGACUUCUGAAAUAGAACUGGAAAAAAAUUCUACUCGGUGUAAGUCUGGGUAAGAAUUUCAUCUAGUCAGCCUCAUAUUUCAAAACGGUCCAGCCAAAGCAGCAAAUCCAGUGAGAGACUGUGCAGUUCAGCAGAGACCAAGAAUAUGCAGCACCAUAGUGGAGACAAGUUAUGAAUGAAUGGGUGCAGUUAUCAAGCAGAUAUAGAAGCUCAAGUUUUUGCAAGCAUUAAAAAUACAUCUGCUUUUUAUCAGGAUUAAUUAUCCCAAGCAGAGUACUGACUCAUUCACCCUGGUUCUACAGCAAGCCAGGAUCUCUGUUUGGCACCCGUGCUGGCUUUUCAUACAUGGACAUUCUUUUUCUGGAUCAAGAGCUGUGGUACACAGCAGGCCAUCCUGGGGGUCCUGCCCACCACAGGAGAGCAGCAGCCCCAGGAGCUCUCAGGAGGUCACCGUGCCCUCCAGCACAGCAGGUUUUGCUUCUGGUGGGUUCUUGAGUGUGGCUGUGGUGAGCACAGCCAUGGUGGCAGCGCAGUUCAGGAUCUGACACGAGGCCCUUGGGUGAUACUGCACUGCUCCCUGGUAUUGCAUUAUGAAGAUGACUAAAACUGGUUCCAAAAACCUGUGUUCAGCACUCAGUACUGGCAACCAACCCCCAGUCUCAGGCUCCCCCCUCCUUUCAUAUCUCUUUCCUCACACUGUACCACUUUCAGCAGACUCCUCAUUGUAAUCCUUCCUGCUCAUCUGCUUUCAUACGCUUUUCCUCUCUAGUUUGCUGUGGGUUGCUCCCUCCUUCAGACUGGAGAAUGCCAGCAGCCCAGGAGGAGUGGCUCUGCUCCCUGGUGCAGGACACAUCCACAGCUGCAGAACGUUCAGCUUGUGCUGCAACACUCCUGAGCUGGCACGUGCUCAGCUGCUUUUGGGUGGAUGUGUGUGAAGGUAUCACUGGGAAGUGUUCAACUGGGCUUGAGCACACUGCAGGCCAGGUGCUUUGGACAGCUGAGCUUUUCAAUUCUUCAUAAUUUCAACUGGACACCUAGUAACACCCUGCCCUCCCCCCCAAUUGCAUAAAAACUAUGAAAGUUAAUAAUUUAAACCAGCUCACUGUGGUAGAUAACAAGGUGAACAGAUUAAAAAAGCAACUCCUUCACUGAAGUUAUUGCAAAAUUACCCAGCCCAUCAGUGUUCAUUACUGUCCUGGGCAUGAGGCUCAUGAGGCACCACCUCUACACACUGUUCAACAGGCUUAUUCAGAGCUCUUUUUCUA